rnacentral:rRNA from 1 species
AUUGAACGCUGGCGGCAGGCUUAACACAUGCAAGUCGAGCGGAGAUGAGGUGCUUGCACCUUAUCUUAGCGGCGGACGGGUGAGUAAUGCUUAGGAAUCUGCCUAUUAGUGGGGGACAACAUUCCGAAAGGAAUGCUAAUACCGCAUACGUCCUACGGGAGAAAGCAGGGGAUCUUCGGACCUUGCGCUAAUAGAUGAGCCUAAGUCGGAUUAGCUAGUUGGUGGGGUAAAGGCCUACCAAGGCGACGAUCUGUAGCGGGUCUGAGAGGACGAUCCGCCACACUGGGACUGAGACACGGCCCAGACUCCUACGGGAGGCAGCAGUGGGGAAUAUUGGACAAUGGGGGGAACCCUGAUCCAGCCAUGCCGCGUGUGUGAAGAAGGCCUUAUGGUUGUAAGGCACUUUAAGCGAGGAGGAGGCUACUGAGACUAAUACUCUUGGAUAGUGGACGUUACUCGCAGAAUAAGCACCGGCUAACUCUGUGCCAGCAGCCGCCGUAA